GAAGUGAAAUUUUACAACUUUGCUAAACAUGUAGACGUAGGUAGUAGUGGUUUUAGGACUGGAGUUCGAUUCUCCACACCUCCACCA
rnacentral:tmRNA from 1 species